GAUGAACGCUAGCUAUAGGCUUAACACAUGCAGGUCGAGGGGAAACGGCAUUAUGUGCUUGCACAUUUUGGACGUCGACCGGCGCACGGGUGAGUAUCGCGUAUCCAACCUGCCCUUUACUUGGGGAUACCCCGUUGAAAGACGGCCUAAUACCCGAUGUAAUUCAUUGAUGGCAUCAGAUAUUAAUAAAAGAUUUAUCGGUAAAGGAUGGUGAUGCGUCUGAUUAGCUUGUUGGUGAGGUAACGGCUCACCAAGGCGACGUUCAGUAGGGGUUCUGAGAGGAAGGCCCCCCACAUUGGAACUGGGGCACAGACCAAUCCCCGACGCGACGCAGCGGUAAUGUAUAUUGGGGAAGGGACGCUAGUCUAACCCAGCCAAGUAGGGUGCAGAAAGACGGCGCUAGGGAUGGUAAACUGUUUUUAGACGAGAAUUAUUGGAUGCACGUGUGCGUUAUUGAAGGUACCGUAUGAAUAAGGACCGGCUAAUUCCGUG
rnacentral:rRNA from 1 species